AGACUGACAGCUGCAGAGGAAAACAAUAGCAUUGCAUAUAAAGUGCUUUUACCUAGUGAUUGCUGCCGAGUGAAAUUGACUAGGAUCACAUAAGAUGCUUGUCUGUAUUACUCAGCAGCUGGUUUUUCAGGGGUGAACAUAAACCAGUACCGGGUUGAGUUGGCAGAUUGCUUGAAACAAUAGCUCUAAGAGGUGUGAACUGCCCCAUUGAUCAGAGUCAGGGCUCCAUGAUUC